GGUGACGAGCGGCGGACGGGUGAGUAAUGUCUGGGAAACUGCCUGAUGGAGGGGGAUAACUACUGGAAACGGUAGCUAAUACCGCAUAACGUCGCAAGACCAAAGAGGGGGACCUUCGGGCCUCUUGCCAUCAGAUGUGCCCAGAUGGGAUUAGCUAGUAGGUGGGGUAAUGGCUCACCUAGGCGACGAUCCCUAGCUGGUCUGAGAGGAUGACCAGCCACACUGGAACUGAGACACGGUCCAGACUCCUACGGGAGGCAGCAGUGGGGAAUAUUGCACAAUGGGCGCAAGCCUGAUGCAGCCAUGCCGCGUGUGUGAAGAAGGCCUUCGGGUUGUAAAGCACUUUCAGCGAGGAGGAAGGUGGUGAGCUUAAUACGUUCAUCAAUUGACGUUACUCGCAGAAGAAGCACCGGCUAACUCCGUGCCAGCAGCCGCGGUAAUACGGAGGGUGCAAGCGUUAAUCGGAAUUACUGGGCGUAAAGCGCACGCAGGCGGUUUGUUAAGUCAGAUGUGAAAUCCCCGGGCUCAACCUGGGAACUGCAUUUGAAACUGGCAAGCUAGAGUCUCGUAGAGGGGGGUAGAAUUCCAGGUGUAGCGGUGAAAUGCGUAGAGAUCUGGAGGAAUACCGGUGGCGAAGGCGGCCCCCUGGACGAAGACUGACGCUCAGUG
rnacentral:rRNA from 1 species